CUUGGGGAACACAAAACACUUGUCUGAAGCCUCCCAGCCUGCCUCAGGAUGGACGUGAAACUGACUGCCCCCUCUCCAAUACCCCAAAAGCCUCUAACCGAGAGGGACAAAAGAACGUAGGAUAAUUCACAGCUAUCAAGAAUCAAAGAACGGAAAUUUGUAGAAGGCUCAGGUUUCACUCCCCACUGAUCUCCUGACCGGCUCCACUCACCAGGACUUGCUCUUCCAAACAUACUUCAAAAAUUUAAAAAGUGGUUCCAACCGGGAGCAUCCACAAGAAUAAGGCUGAGCUGCCUAUGCUGAAAUGGGAAGAGACACAAAAUAUAUCAAGCAGGAAAAAAACACAAGUAAUUUUUUUUUAGUUGGGGAAUAUGGAGCAGCAAGACCAGUGAGAAACGGAUGCGGAAACGAAAACCUAGUUUGGAACCGCUGAAUUUGAUGUGUCACUUCCAAGGAGAUGGUUGCUCAGGAGAGACACUGGGUUGGAGAUGGGUAACUUGGUUUUAAUGAUCAAGCUACUUUAAUUGCUUACUUGAA